rnacentral:rRNA from 1 species
UGCCAGCAGCCGCGGUAAUACAGAGAUGGCAACCGUUGUUCGGAAUCACUGGGCAUAAAGAGCACGUAGGCGGAAGCGUAAGUCGGGUGUGAAAUCCCUCGGCCCAACCGAGGAACUGCGCCCGAAACUGUGCUUCUUGAGGGCAGGAGGGGGACGUGGAAUUCCUGGUGGAGCGGUGAAAUGCGUUGAUAUCAGGAGGAACACCGGCGGCGAAGGCGACGUCCUGGCCUGCUUCUGACGCUGAGGUGCGAAAGCCAGGGGAGCAAACGGGAUUAGAUA